AAGUCUUUUGUCAAAGAUCAGGGCCUAACCCUGGGCAGGCAGAGGAAACUAGUAGACUUGAGUUCGGUAGGGGCAGAGGGAAUUCCCGGUGGAGCGGUGAAAUGCGUAGAGAUCGGGAGGAACACCAAAGGCGAAGGCACUCUGCUGGGCCGCAACUGACACUGAGAGACGAAAGCGAGGGGAGCAAAUGGGAUUAGAUACCCCAGGUAGUCCUCGCCGUAAACGAUGGAUACUAGGUGUUGGAUGAGUUCAAUCAUUCAGUACCGUAGCUAACGCGUGAAGUAUCCCGCCUGGGGAGUAUGCUCGCAAGAGUGAAACUCAAAGG
rnacentral:rRNA from 1 species